rnacentral:rRNA from 1 species
GAUGAACGCUGGCGGCGUGCCUAAUACAUGCAAGUCGAGCGAACAGACGAGGAGCUUGCUCCUUCGACGUUAGCGGCGGACGGGUGAGUAACACGUAGGUAACCUACCUAUAAGACUGGGAUAACUUCGGGAAACCGGAGCUAAUACCGGAUAAUAUUUCGAACCGCAUGGUUCGAUAGUGAAAGAUGGCUUUGCUAUCACUUAUAGAUGGACCUGCGCCGUAUUAGCUAGUUGGUAAGGUAACGGCUUACCAAGGCAACGAUCCGUAGCCGACCUGAGAGGGUGAUCGGCCACACUGGAACUGAGCCACGGUCCAGACUCCUACGGGAGGCAGCAGUAGGGAAUCUUCCGCAAUGGGCGAAAGCCUGACGGGGCAACGCCGCGUGAGUGAUGAAGGUCUUCGGAUCGUAAAACUCUGUUAUUAGGGAAGAACAAACGUGUAAGUAACUGUGCACGUCUUGACGGUACCUAAUCAGAAAGCCACGGCUAACUACGUG